CCCAAGAUAGCUCAGUGGCAGAGCACCCGGCUCUUCAUCCGGGAGGACGCGGGUUCGAGCCCCGUUCUUGGGC
rnacentral:tRNA from 1 species